rnacentral:rRNA from 1 species
UGGGGAAUAUUGCACAAUGGGCGCAAGCCUGAUGCAGCGACGCCGCGUGCGGGAUGAAGGCCUUCGGGUUGUAAACCGCUUUCAGCAGGGGCGAAUUUGACGGUACCUGUAGAAGAAGCGCCGGCUAACUACGUG